rnacentral:tRNA from 1 species
GGCUCCAUGGCUCAGUGAUAGAGCAUCUGCUUGCCAUGCAGACAGCCUCAGGUUCAAUUCCCAGCAACACCA